AUUGAACGCUGGCGGCAGGCCUAACACAUGCAAGUCGAGCGGCAGCGGGAAAGUAGCUUGCUACUUUUGCCGGCGAGCGGCGGACGGGUGAGUAAUGCCUGGGGAUCUGCCCAGUCGAGGGGGAUAACUACUGGAAACGGUAGCUAAUACCGCAUACGCCCUACGGGGGAAAGCAGGGGACCUUCGGGCCUUGCGCGAUUGGAUGAACCCAGGUGGGAUUAGCUAGUUGGUGAGGUAACGGCUCACCAAGGCGACGAUCCCUAGCUGGUCUGAGAGGAUGAUCAGCCACACUGGAACUGAGACACGGUCCAGACUCCUACGGGAGGCAGCAGUGGGGAAUAUUGCACAAUGGGGGAAACCCUGAUGCAGCCAUGCCGCGUGUGUGAAGAAGGCCUUCGGGUUGUAAAGCACUUUCAGCAAGGAGGAAAGGUUGGUAGCUAAUAACUGCCAGCUGUGACGUUACUCGCAGAAGAAGCACCGGCUAACUCCGUGCCAGCCGCCGCAGUAAUAC
rnacentral:rRNA from 1 species